GCAAGCUCAGUACGGGCGGAUGGUGGAUGCCUCGGCAGCUGGAGGCGAUGAAGGGCGUGGCAGACUGCGAUAAGCCACGGGGAGCCGUCGAGCAGGCGUUGAUCCGUGGAUUCCCGAAUGGGGUAAACCCACCGCACGGAAGGUGCGGUAUCCCUCCCUGAAUCCAUAGGGGAGGGAGGCGAACCCGGGGAAGUGAAGCAUCUCAGUACCCGGAGGAAGAGAAAUCAAAAGAGACAAAGCUAUCUUCCCUGCGCUCUCUCGAGCGUAGCGAAGAUGGCUUUGGAGAUUCCGUCAGUAGCGGCGAGCGAACGCGGAAGAGCCUAAACCGUGCACACGUAGAAGACUGCCCUCGUUGUGUGCGCGGGGUUGCAGGCCGGCCCAUCCACGGGGGGCAGCCCGUGGCAGAGGUCACAAAGAUUGGCUCUAGCCGAACAGCUAGUAAAGCCACUGGAAAGAGCGACCAGAGAGGGUGAUAGUCCCGUAGGCGAAAGGGUCAGUCCCUCUGGGGCCGUGCCUAAGUAGCGUCGUACCCGUGUUACGGCGUGAAGCUGGGAGGACCACCUUCCAAGGCUAAAUACUACCAGCUGACCGAUAGUGGACCAGUACCGCGAGGGAACGGUGAAAAGAACCCCGGAAGGGGAGUGAAAGAGAACCUGAAACCAUCCGCUCACAGACAGUCGGAGGGUCCCGCCGACCCUUUGCCCUGGGCAUCGCAAGAUGCCCAACGGCAGAGCCGGCGGCCUGACGGCAUGCCUUUUGCAGUAUGAUCCUGCGAGCUACCGUGCGUGGCCAGGCUAAGCCUCGUCGGUGGGGCGCAGCCGUAGCGAAAGCGAGUCCGAAUAGGGCGACAAGUCACGUGCGGUAGGCACGAAGCCGAGCGAUCUACCCAUGGCCAGGCUGAAACCGAGGUAACACUCGGUGGAGGGCCGAACCCGUGAACGUGGAAUAGUUCUGGGAUGAGCUGUGGGUAGCGGUGAAAAGCCAGACGGGCCUCGGUGAUAGCUUGUUCUCCUCGAAAUAGUUUUAGGACUAGCCUCGGCCGUUAAGCCGUGGGGGUAGAGCCACUGGAUGGAUGCGGGGCAACCCAAUUCCAACCAAACUCCGAAUACCACGGCGCAUCGGCCGGGAGUCAGACGGCGGGGGAUAACCUCCGUCGUCGAGAGGGAAACGGCCCAGAUCGUCGGCUAAGGCCCCAAAGCCCGAGCUAAGUCAGGAAGGAUGUGUUCCCGCCCAGACAGCUGGGAGGUUGGCUUAGAAGCAGCCAUCCUUUAAAGAGUGCGUAAUAGCUCACCAGUCGAGCGGGAAUGCGCCCAAGAUUCAGCGGGAGUCAAGCUCGGCGCCGAAGCCACGGGAGAGCUCCAUGGUGCGCCCUGGAGCUACGGUAGAGGAGCAUUCCGCUUUAGGCUGAAGUCGUGGCGGAAGCCACGGCGGACGAAGCGGAAGAGAGAAUGCAGGAAUGAGUAGCGCGAGGUGAGUGAGAACCUCACCCACCGAAUGCCUAAGGGUUCCUGGGGAAGGCUCAUCCACCCAGGGUUAGGCGGCCCUAAGCUCAACCCGCAAGGGGUAGGCGAUGGAGAGCCGGUUAAUAUUCCGGCCCCUCUCUGCGGCGCUGACCAAGGGGGGACGCAUCAGGUCGCUUCAGCGGGCGGACGGAUGUGCCCGUGCCUAAGGCGAGGCGUCUGGCUGUAGGCAAAUCCGCAGCCAGGUCAAGUCGAGCCGCGGCGGAGGUCCUACGGGACCGAAGGAAGAGCGAUCAGGUGCCGAGAAAAUCCUCUAGGGAGCCGCAGAGAGCCCGUACCGCAAUCCGACACAGGUAGGCGGGCAGAGGAUGCUCAGGUGGGCGAGAGAACCAUGGUCAAGGAACUCGGCAAAAUGCUCCCGUACGUUCGCAAGAAGGGAGGCCCCGCGUAGGGCCGCAAGGUCCGAGGGGGUCGCAGAGAGCAGGCUGGGGGGACUGUUUAUCAAAAACACAGCACCCUGCUAACUCGAAAGAGGACGUAUAGGGUGUGAGACCUGGCCACUGCUGGAAGGUCAAGGGGAGGGGUGCAAGCCCCAAACUGAAGCCCCAGCGAAGGCCGGCCGUAACUAUAACUCUGACCGUUGUAGUUACGUAAAUAAACCCGACUAUAUGCGGGAAAGUCCGGGGUAUCCGGCGGUACUCGCUCUCCCCCAAAGAGCAGUAACAAUCCGACCGGUGCGGACAAUCCGCAGGAAAGGCCUUGGCCGUGCCUAGAGAGGAGGCACUAUGAGGGCAGUCAGAAAAGUCCCUCCUCACAUCGGGUGGUAUCUUGCUGGGUUUGCUGACGGCGAGGGAAGCUUCAACGUCGUCUUCAGACCGCGCAAAGAUUACCACAUUCCGUGGAAGAUCUCCCUGUGCUUUAACAUUUCGCAGCGCGACCGCGUCAUCUUAGCGCUCUUUAAGCGCUAUUUGGGAUGCGGCACGAUGCGCCAGCGCCAGGAUGGCGUCUGGUACUACGAAGUCAAUAACCUCAACGCGAUCUUGCAGAAUGUCAUCCCGUUCUUCAAGAGAUUCAAGUUUCUCUCGGCGAAGAAGAAGCGGGACUUCUCAAAAUUCUGCCAGAUCGCGGAGCUCAUACAGCAGGGAGCGCACCUUCACCAAGAGGGAAUCACGCGCAUUUUAGAAAUUCGUCGCGAUAUGAACGACGGUGGUAACCGUCGCUAUAGCGAUGAAGAGAUCAUGGCACGGCUCGAGGAAUCCUCAGAGACCAUACGUCGGGCGCCCCAAAAGGGUGAUGAUAUGGUCCGGUCUCCGUAGCGAUACGGAGGGCUCGUAAGAGCCGCACCUGCUUCGGCAGUGUGCAACAGAGACAAACGGUCCUAAGGUAGCGAAAUUCCUUGUCGGGUAAGUUCCGACGCGCAUGAAUGGUAUAACCACUCCAGCGCUGUCUUGACCAUGGGCUCGGUGAAAUUGAAGCACCGGUGAAAACGCCGGUGACUCGCGGCAGGACGGAAAGACCCCGUGGAGCUUUACUGGAGCUUGGCAUUGGGUCUCGACGGGUGUUGUGUAGGAUAGGUGGGAGCCGGAGAAGUCUCCGCGCUAGCGGGGAUGGAGGCGUCCUUGAAAUACCACCCUUCGCCCGUUGCGGCUCUAACCGACGGCCGUACAGCGGUCGCGGGACCGUGCUAGGCGGACAGUUUAACUGGGGUGGUUGCCUCCUAAAGAGUAACGGAGGCGCGCAAAGGUCGGCUCAGCCGGGUUGGCGAUCCGGCGGGGAGUGCAUGGGCACAAGCCGGCUUGACUGUGACCCCGACAGGGGGAACAGGUGCGAAAGCAGGCCCAAGUGACCCGGUGGCUCUGCGUGGAAGGGCCAUCGAUCAUCGGAUAAAAGUUACCCCGGGGAUAACAGGCUAGUACCGCCCGAGAGUACACAUCGACGGCGGUGUUCGGCACCUCGAUGUCGGCUCAACUCAUCCUGGGGCUGAAGCAGGUCCCAAGGGUCCGUCUGUUCGCCGGUUAAAGAGUUACGUGAGCUGGGUUCAGACCGUCGCAAGACAGGUCGGUCCAUAUCCGCCGCGAGCGCAAGAGGCUUGAGGGGCGCUCUCCCUAGUACGAGAGGACCGGGAGGGCUGGACCGCUGGUGUACCAGCUGUCCUGCCAAGGGCACCGCUGGGUAGCUAGGUCCGGACGGGAUAAGCGCUGAAGGCAUCUAAGCGCGAAGCCCACCCCAAGAUGAGGCCUCUGAGAGCCCUGGGAGAACACCAGGUUGAUAGGCCGCAGGUGUACGCAGAGCAAUCUGCUCAGCCGAGCGGUCCUAAUCGCUCCGUCGU
rnacentral:rRNA from 1 species